UUUUUUUUUUUGAGCUCUCUGGCCCCAAGCAGUACAGCUGACAGAGGCCUGCUAUGUUUGCAACUUGCAUUUUGCUGGCACUUUUCAAGUUAUUUUUGUCACCCUCUGAAUACUCUCUUUGCCCCACUGUAUUCCUGAGGGCAUGUUAGAAAAGCAGCACCAAAGGACAAAAUGAUAUCAGACCAUCUUAGGUGGCUUUCUGUGGAAAGCAUUGGGACCCCGUGUCCCUUUGGUACAGGAAAGGGAAAAUUUUUAAUUGAGUAAGGCUGCAGAGAAUUUUAAAUGCUAGAGCUUUGGGAGAGUCUAUUUCGCGUUUUCAUUUUGAUUAAAUUUAGAAUUGUUCGUUUUUCUGGCAGAAUGUUUAUGUUUAGGCAAUGAAUUCGAUAUGCUGAGGAGAUGCAGAUCACUUCACUUUUUGUGAUUCUUACAAUGAAGAGUCAGGAAGAGGCAAGACUUGGUAGCUGGCAGUACAGAGAAGUCCUGGCUUAUCUGGCACUUCAAUAUUCCAUCCAUCUGCCCAGGAUUUCUGUGUUCAGCUCAGAUAAGCAACGUGACUGUUGAUUUCUGUCUGCAUCAGAGAGGAUUGCACUGGGCAGGUAUUUUGUAUUGUGCAGUUCUGCUGUUUUUUUUGUUUUGUUUUGUUUUUCAAUUUCUCUUUCAGAACCUCUGAGCCCUUGCUCAGGAUAAACAACCACUGUGCUGCUGAGUACUGUGCUUGGAGCCUUCACACCCAAGUGGAGUCACUCUGAGGAACAAGAUUGCCCUGUGGAAAGACUCCUUCCUUCUGUGAGUAAUAGGACCUCUGGAUGCUGUGACUGCACUGAUCCCAGUCGGCACAGAAAUUGCUAUGAUGCUGAGAUGCGCCUUACUACGUGUUGCACCGCGCAGUAGCUUGGAAACUCUUGUGACAUGUGACAAGGGACUUCACAGCGCCUGAUGGAACGUGUUGCAUGCUCCCUCACAUCCUGCUCUGGCGACAGUAAUGCCAUUCAUCCUCCAGCAAGUGGGGCUGGGAGGAAGUCCAGGUUUAUCACUCUUUCCUGGGGGAACUGGAAGGUUCAGGAAAUUAUGGGAUUUAGAGAUUCUUAACUUCUGAGCCAUUUGCUUGAACUGCUCGUAACUGAGAAAUUCAGUGUGCCACAUAUAUUUUCAAAGACUCUUGCUUACAGUUUGUGCACCUGUAGUAGGCUUUUUAGCUGGCUCACCUGAAAAAAUAGUGUAGAAGUUAAAGAAGAUGGAAUUCCAAGAAUUUGACAGAAAUUGGCUCCUGUACAAUUAUAGUAUGUCAAUUGCUAUCUGAUGUAUGCACUGUAUUGCAAAGUCAUUGCCUGGUAGUGCAUACAUGCCUUCUGUUAGCUUCUCUUUGCAGAUAUUCUUGAAAUGAUAAGUGGAUGCAACGAACACUGGAGGUUUAUCACCAGUUUUCCUUUGUGAAGAUCUUGACUGCCACUGGUUAAAACUUGUUUUAUUCAUUUCCUGAUGUUUUCUUCCUGGCUCAAAAUGUCACACAAACACAUCAACCAUCACUAGCUUUCACCCCACCAUCUGAGCACCAACCUCAUUAAAUCUCAGGACUGCAUAAAGGAAUACUGAUACUGAAAGAAGGUUUAAGUCAUAUAUUGGUGGAUAACUGACGGCACUGAGAACUUGUGGUCUAUGAACAUACCAAAUUAUCAAGCUCCUUAAAGAACUAAUGAAUACUGCUCGCACUAUCUGUAACAAGCAUCCCUUUGUAAUGUAGAUGUAAGAACAAACCAAAGCCAUGAUACUGGAGCUGUGUCUGCUCAAAAAACAGUGCUGAGGAUGAUUUCUUCUACUCUACAUUUUUAGUCCUAAAACUAUGCUGUGGGAUUUGUUUUCGAUUUGUGUGUUUGUUUGCUUUUUGCAUGCUCUCAGAACUACAGAUUAUUUUGCAGCUGAAGGCCAGCUAUGAGUUGUGCUACAGGGUGACACAUUUCAUGGAAAUUUAAUGCAAAUAAUAAUAAUUCUCAUCAGGAGCAGAAACAGGAGAUCUCUCACAUUUCUAGCAACUGCAGAUACCUGCAUGAGACUGAACUGCAAGAGAGUGAACCGCUCGUGUCAAGCCAGCUCCCUUACAAAACAUCCAGCACAAUGGAUGUUUUUUGCAAUCAACAAACUCAAAAUUACUGCUCUUGUAUGUCCGGAAACCUUUAUUUCAUUUUCAUUCUGUUUCAUUUGAAGAAUUUACUAAUGCAUACAAACAUGUAGCAUGUUCUUUUAACAUAUGUUCAUUCCAGUGUUUACUUUAUCUCCUGAUCUUAUCUGUAGCUUCCCAUUACAAAGAAAUGUUACCAUAAAACACCACAAACAAAGUUGCCACCAUUUUAAUGUUCUGCAAGUGUGCUACAAGUAAACUGUACUGUACUGAAUUCAAUCAAAAUACUCAAUGCAUUUUGAGCACAAUACCACCAAUAUAUUGCUGGCCCACUUUGCCACAUGCAGAAGGACAAUGAUGUGCUUAUUGACUCAUCUCUUUAUUCUGAACAGAGGGAACUCACUUGGUUGCCAAUGGUCCAUUCAGCCCGGCCAAACACUGAUUUAAAAAACAGUGAUGUCUUUCCCAAGCACAUCAGAGGCUGCCUGUACUGCACUGAGGCUGCAACGUGGGUUCCGGCUGUACUAUGGGAUGUUACAAAGCUAAGCAAGCUAAUUUUGGAAUAUUGCACACACUUACUAUAUUCAGAUGAUAUUAGUUACUGCACCUGACUUCUUAAAUGAAUAUUCCUUAAGAUUACUUGAUAAAGCAUAGCUCAGCUUGUCCAUAUCAGAAGAGUUUUCUAUACUUUGUUCACUCUUCAGUGUUCACCUGCAUUACAGCUCUUCAACUUGCCACCUUGCAUGCUCCAUUCAGGUGACAAGAACACUUAAUGCAUGGGUGGCACUGAGCAGAUAAAGGGCUGGAGGGUUUUUACAGGCUCUACUAAAGUGCUUUCUUCAGACUAGAAGUGCACAGUACCAUGGUGAUAAGGCUGUCCUGUGCUGAUCUAAGGAAGCCUGUGAUAAGGAAUAUAAUAGGAGCAAUAAGGUAAAAAAAAAUCUUUCAUUCCAGAAACUGUGUAUCUGUGUAUACCAACUGCUUACAGAGUUUUCUCACAAGCUCAUGUUUGUGAAGUGUUGCAUGCUUCAGCUCCAUCUUAAAUGGUUUUAUGCCACAAACUGUGGGCCAUUUAUUGCUCAUCACUCCAAAGCCACUGAACUCUUCAGCUGUGCAGUCUGCUCCCUCCAGCCUUCCCACUGAGAAUAAACAAUUGGCAGGGAUGGGGAGAAGGGGACAUCCAAGAGACACUGAAGGGACAUCAAAGAAUGCCAGAAAGGGCCAACACAGAAAACAGCCCUGCCCUAUGCAGCCAAGGCCUGGGCUGGUGUUUUAGUGCUAUGCACAAGAGUUUAAAUAUGUGAAUUAGCCCACACAGCUGUAAAAAUCACUGGGCCCAUGAUAAGAAAAUGAAAGACAGUAUUGUUGAUGGUUUCUGGUUUUGUUUGUUUGCUGUUGUAUUUCACUCUCUGUAUAUCUGCCUUAAUCUGUGAAGUAUCAGCAACCUAAAUAAAAACUGCAUUUCUGAUUGA